CCUCCUUUUCUUGCCGGGGCCCGGGCGUGUAGUCCGCUCCUGAUUAUGUGCAGAGGUAGAGGGAAAGGGCUCUGGCCCACUCGGCGUCAUGUGUUCUGUGCUGGCGGCUUCCUGUCUGCCAGUUCUAUCCUCAAACACCGGGACAUCA